AGAGGUUGUGGCUCAGUGGUGGAACAUCUGCUUUGUGUGCAGAAGGUCUCAGGUUCAAGCCCUGAUAUCUCAA
rnacentral:tRNA from 1 species